CCUUAAACACAAGCCCCUGACCUUGUUUCCUUCCGAAAUCGGACAGUCCGUCACCGUUUUCUCAGUUCCCGCUAACACACAGCACGUAAAAAUAAACUCCGCGCAUGUCUCUAUCAAAUCACAAUUCACAAAGACAGAAUUUCCACAAACUCUAUCUUAGCCAACCGCUGCAUUUUGAAGAGAUAUUGCAAUCCUUUGUCCAUUUGUAUGAUCAAAUAGAUAAUGGAACAAUAAGCUAAAUUGCAGUUGAUAAUUGUUACACAAAAUGGAUAAUGGGCGAAUUAUGAACUCUGCUGUAAUACAAGAUGGUUUUAUGAUGAAAACUCAUGAUGAAGAAGAGCCCUCCAAAAUCCAUAAUGACAUUAUUACUAAUCAUUGAAAGAACCGUGAAUGGCAACAUAGAUACAGGGCCUGAAAACUCCUUGAAGCAGAUAUGAAGUAGGGCUCUGUGACAAACCAGCUAUCACCAUCACAAGUAGAAGUGGAACUGAAUGGGCAUCAUAAUAGUUGCAUAAGCCCUAUUCCUUGUAAAAGAACUGGAAAAAAGAUGCAAGAAGAGCUCAUGCAUAUAGGCAUAUGGAAGAAACACGUAAUGCUUCUGCUAUUUCUGCAUUGCCCUUAAAUAUUGAAAGUCAGACAGUAUGCUUGGCCAAUGCAAGAAUGACAGGGGCACCACAAGAGAGGAAAAAUCAUUCGGAGAAUUCUGUUAGCUUGUGGAGUGGUGAAACAUAUAAUACCAAGCCGGGUCGAAGAGAUUGGAAGGCGAGGCAAGUAAAAUAAAUAAAUAAAUGUGUUUGUUGGGCUUAAUGAAUUUGCAGAGACAUUUUGAUCAGCAGGUAAUGAUUGUGGAGAAUAGUGAGUUCUGAUGGCCCCACUAAUCUAUACCAUGUGUUGAAGUGCAGAUUGUCUAGACAUGGAUUAGGAAAUUUUAUUGUCUUUUUCUGUUUUUGUUACUUUUGCAGCUUCUGCGAUUACAGAUAGGAUGGGAGAGCGUCAAAAAAUAUAGCCAGCAAGUUAACAAUUGCUUACCAUCAAUUUUGUGCAGGAAGAAUAUCAAAUAGCAGAAGCUUAGCCGUGAAUUUUGCCUUUAUUUUAAGGUUAGGUCAGUGUUCAGGAAUGAUUAUAAUAAAUGGUGACUCUACUGUGAAGUGUAAUAUCAUUGUGCAUACAAGACAGAGUAUUGUUGUAUACGCACCACAAUGGAACAUGAAAUAUGAAACUUUACUCAUGUCAAGGCAA